rnacentral:rRNA from 1 species
UACGUAGGGUGCGAGCGUUGUCCGGAAUUAUUGGGCGUAAAGAGCUCGUAGGCGGUGUGUCACGUCGGCCGUGAAAACCUGCAGCUUAACUGUGGGCGUGCGGUCGAUACGGGCAUCACUGGAGUUCGGCAGGGGAGACUGGAAUUCCUGGUGUAGCGGUGAAAUGCGCAGAUAUCAGGAGGAACACCGGUGGCGAAGGCGGCUUGCUGGGCCUCACCUGACGCUGAGGAGCGAAAGCGUGGGGAGCGAACAGG